rnacentral:misc_RNA from 1 species
GGUGAGAUAUAUAACUAUGGCUGGGGAGUAUGAACUGAGGCUCAUGUAGUGCACUCAGCAUAGUUAGUACAACAGUUUCAUAUUCUGCUGAAUUUUGUGGGCGGUGAGCGAGGGCUCGUUAUUUCCAUUAGCUGUGUGCGCAGUAGAAACUCGUACCUGCUUCGUAUAUUUUGUUUUUAUCUUCACUAUAUGUUAUACAACAGUGUGUGACGGUGAGUGAUUGUGCAUUUUGUUGAGGUUUAUGAGUCUGUUUUUGGUAGA